GGGCGGUGUGAGGGAUGAGGACUAUAACAGGUGAGGUAGGUCAGGUGUGUUAGUUAACUGCUGUGAGUCAGGGCAGUGUGAGGGAUGAGGACUAUAACAGGUGAGGUAGGUCAGGUGUGUUAGUUAUCUGCUGUGAGUCAGGGCGGUGUGAGGGAUGAGGACUAUAACAGGUGAGGUAGGUCAGGUGUGUUAGUUACCUGCUGUGAGUCAGGGCAGUGUGAGGGAUGAGGACUAUAACAGGUGAGGUAGGUCAGGUGUGUUAGUUAUCUGCUGUGAGUCAGGGCGGUGUGAGGGAUGAGGACUAUAACAGGUGAGGUAGGUCAGGUGUGUUAGUUACCUGCUGUGAGUCAGGGCGGUGUGAGGGAUGAGGACUAUAACAGGUGAGGUAGGUCAGGUGUGUUAGUUAUCUGCUGUGAGUCAGGGCGGUGUGAGGGAUGAGGACUAUAACAGGUGAGGUAGGUCAGGUGUGUUAGUUACCUGCUGUGAGUCAGGGCGGUGUGAGGGAUGAGGACUAUAACAGGUGAGGUAGGUCAGGUGUGUUAGGUACCUGCUGUGAGUCAGAAGGGAUGAGGACUAUAACAAGUGAGGUAGGUCAGGUGUGUUAGUUACCUGCUGUGAGUCAGGGCCGUGUGAGGGAUGAGGACUAUAACAGGUGAGAUCGGUCAGGUGUGUUAGUUACCUGCUGUGAGUCAGGGCGGUGUGAGGGAUGAGGACUAUAACAGGUGAGGUAGG